GGCGAUCGAUCUACAUCUUUCCUCAUAGCCCUGGGGCUGUGUCUCGAUCUCCUACGUGCGAAAUCUGAGGGACUAGUUCCUAUGGAGAUUCCCCUGGGUCUAAUUCCACGCCUUAUGACGAAAGGAGAGUCGGCGUGGCGUAAAGUGAAGAUUGAGGGAAAUAGAUAAAAAUUCCCUUCUGGGGUCUUCCGAAGGUGUAACCUAGGCAACGAAAGAAAAAGGGGCCCGAUACUUCAACUAGAGGAGCGACCAGUUGGUUCACCAAACCCCGACCCAGCGUCACACGUUCUCCAGGUCCGAAGGGAUCCAGUGCCCAACUACCGACUCCUUCCGGAAUUGCGUUAUCGUAGCCGAGCCAGGAAUGGCCGUUAGUGGACACCCACCACUUUUAACCGGUUAGAGAGGCCCUCUUUAAUACAUUAAUAAAAGAUGUUCACAGGGGCCAGAAAGACUCGGUCAUAGGAACUUAGACCGCCUACGCGCUGGUAAACUAAAACCACCUCGACCGGAUCAGAGUAAACAACAAUGUCGAAUCGCCCCUUGCCUUGAAAGAAUUCACAGGCGGCCACCUGCUUUCCCAAAAUAAAUAAGGGGAGAUCUGCUGCUUACUGCUCACGGAAACAUCCGACCUAUACUAUAGUAAAGUCGUCCGCGUAUCUUUCUGAUCUCUCUUCCUUCUAUUUAUAAGAUUUUUGGCUUUGACUUCUUCAAGGUGAAAAAAAGAAUAAUAAAGGAGCGUAGCAGCCAGAGUCGCUAGAGAAAGAAAUCCCCUCUUCCGCUUAAGGCACCGAAGUCCCACAGCUAAUAUCAAUAUAGGAGCAACUCUCUGAUCAGUUUUCACAAAUCCUGAAAGACUUGGGUAAGCGCCCUGUAGGGGAAGGAGAGGAUUUACAGGAUUCAGUUAGGCAGUUAAAGGGUUACCCUUAUAUAUUUCUUAUUUAUAAAAUAGGGUCAGUGCACGGAAGACUCCCCACUUCUGGGACACACGGCGCCCAACCUAAUAGGAUGAGUCACGCAACCCCUAGACCAACUGUCAGAUUUCCCCCUGAUGGUGAUCUCCUUCCAACCUUAGAUCCUAGAGCGGCACUUGAUGAUGGUGAUCAUUUUUAUGAGGACCAACCCAUAGAGUUCCAGUCGGACCCCAUACUAGGGUUCCAGAUAGACAGAACAGGCGUUCACCACAACCUCCUAGGUAUGUAUGGUC